rnacentral:rRNA from 1 species
UGGGGAAUCUUCCGCAAUGGACGAAAGUCUGACGGAGCAACGCCGCGUGAGUGAAGACGGCCUUCGGGUUGUAAAGCUCUGUUAUUCGGGAAGAACGAUUCGUUUGUGAACAAUGAACGGAAGUGACGGUACCGAAAGAGAAAGCCACGGCUAACUACGUGCCAGCAGCCGCGGUAAUACGUAGGUGGCAAGCGUUGUCCGGAAUUAUUGGGCGUAAAGAGCGCGUAGGCGGUAUGAUAAGUCUGUCUUAGAAGUGCGGGGCUUAACCCCGUGGUGAGACAGAGACUGUCAGACUAGAGUCUCGGAGAGGAAGGCGGAAUUCCUAGUGUAGCGGUGAAAUGCGUAGAGAUUAGGAAGAACACCGGUGGCGAAGGCGGCUUUCUGGACGAGCACUGACGCUGAGGCGCGAAAGCGUGGGGAGCGAACAGG